GGUAUGGAUGUAUGACAUUAGACUUUUAUUGCAGAGAAACACAUUGUCACCCUCUUAUUGUUUCAUUUUGUCAACAAACGGCAUAGCUGGCAAUGUCCAUGUUUGAAUAGUGGCUCCACCUGGUGGUGAACACAUAGCACUCAAUGCAAUUUAUUAGUUUCUGAGGUACAGGUUUGAUUUUUUAGACUAGGCCCUUUCAAUGCCAUAUGUUUUUGAUGUUUGUGUAUAUACAUAAAGAGCUUCAUAGAUUCACUGACUGGCUUUGUAGUAUUAGAUAGCAUACAAUACACACAUUGUGUGACUUAUUUGAUUUUUUUUUUUUUUUUUUUACAGCACAGUUACUGAAGUGUAAAAACAUACAAAGAAAGGCAAUUUUAUCCCAGUUUGGCAAUUACAACAUUUUACACUGAUGCAUUAUCAGUUAUCAGCGUUGAGUAUAAGUGGGACAAUACUGUAAAAUAAACAUGAAGUAUUAAAAUCUGGAAAUGGACGACAUCAGAAAUAUGUCCCAUAAAUAAUAAACAACGCCAGAUACACGCUUGUCAUGACACAGACACUAUAAAAGAUCUCUCAAGACUUGUCAAACAACACAGUCAUAUCCCUCCCUUCAGUUUGCAUGGUUAGGCUGUACAGACCUUAAAAAAUCUAUGGCUCUUAAGACACCCUUGCACCACCACACAAACAAAAAGAAAAAAAUUUAUCCUGUAUUUAUUAUCCUAUAUAUUUUGGAUUUUUAGCUUAAGUAUUGAAACUCAAGGUUGUCUCCUAUUCUGAACAUGUAUUAUUUAACUGACAUCAAAGAGCUAAACAGAGACAUACAUUGUAAAGUAUACUCCCUUUAGUAAGGACACUCUAUACAAAGUUUAUAGAGAACACAAAGUGGUUGUGUGUUUGUAUGUGUGUGUGUGUGUGUGUGUGUGUGUUGUUUUUGUUUACUAUAAAAUCUCUUUCACAAAGAAAUUAUAUUGUUAGUUUAUCAUUUUCCUUAGUUUGACCACUGAAAUCAGUGAGGAGGGCAUUCUGAUUAUUUUUUUCAUAGUAUAAUGCUAACUAUACCCAUUUUUAAGAGUAUACUACUUUCCUUUCUUGAAAUGGAAUGCCAUCUAUUACGAACACUCGACAUGACUGACAAAUUUAUGUGUUUUCACACCGAAUUUUCAGGAUUGGCAGUUAUGAUUAUUUUACUCACAAAUAAUAGAUUUUUCACAAAGUCAUUUUUGAUUACCUUUCUUUUAAAGGCUGGAUACAAGUAAAUGCUACAUUAUGCUUGAAUGUUUGCACACACCUGCUUAAAUCCCUUCCUGAUUAUGCUUCCAAAGACUGAGGCAAAUCUCAAAGACACUGCUAAGAUCACAAAUUUUCAUACGAUAUCAAAUCACAACUGGAUGUAUACACAACUCACAAUAGUUGUUAUUGGAUAGAAAGCUAAUAAAAAGAACAGCAUUUUGUGAAAACAAAUGUGUAAAAUUCAUUAAAGCAUUCUUAAGCAGGUCCCCCUGCAUUUUGGCCUGUCAGUGUUUAAAAAAAACAACAAAAAAAGUGAGGUUUGCUCUGCAACAUCCUCUUGCAAAAUUCUCCACUUCCUGUUUUUUAUUUUUUUGGACAUUCUAUUUUUUCCAUUGCACGGACCCUUUGAAGACCUUGUCCUUCAUGUCACAUUUUAGCUGCCCUCUGCUGCUUCCUAUAAUGCAGUCUGACAGGCAUUAGGAACAGUCGGUAGAGGAUGAGCUCCAGGGGAAAGGCAGGGCAGUCCAGGCCCCAUCUCUGCAGUUCAGAACCUGCUGGAUCCAGCUCCAUUCCUGCUUCGUGUUGGACUCCACUGCUAUGUGUCUCCGAUUGAUGACGACUAAUAGCAGCCGGUGCCAGCCAAACAUCACUUCAGUCUAUUACGAUGGACUUCAGAGGAUGAACUGAUGCCAACUCCAACCAUAAGACAUGGGAUACAUCACAUGCCAUUGCCUGAACCUUGGACUUAGGAUAGACCUCACCGAAAUUACCGGCCGGUUGAACUGUGAUGCACCUAAAUGAUCUCUGUCUGCAUCACCUCGGUCUAAUGAUGGAAUACACACUUGAAAUGGAAUACAUAGACUAUCAAUUAAUUGCCAACAAAACCCUUCAUCAGCCAACUAACAAGGACCAUGUAUCUACUGCAUGUGAACUUCUGCAGUUAAUCCAGGAUGAACUUCAAAUACAUUAGUCAUUAAUCUUACAGUUCAUGCAAAAUCUUUGUUUAAACACUGACCCUUAACACUUACUUAGUUAAUAAUUUUAAACCAUGACUUAAACUAUACAUAAGUAAUAUUGGCAUUAUAUUCAUGAUGUUAGCCAGAAGGGAACUGGUCUCCACAGUGAGCCUGGUUUCUCCCAAGGUUAUUUUUCUCCAUUAACCAACAUCUUAUGGAGUUUUGUGUUCCUUGCCACAGUCACCUUCAGCUUGCUCACUGGGUUUCUAAAUACAAUUAUUAUUUAAUUACUUAUUUUUAAACACAAUUCACAAUUGUAUUUUAUUAAACUACACAAUGAUGACUCUAAGGCAUUAUAGAUAUUACAGUUUAAUUUUCUGUUAAUACAUGAUUUUAUGUAAAGCUGCUUUGAAACGAUGUGUGUUGUGAAAGGCGCUAUACAAAUAAAAAUGACUUGACUACUGGG